rnacentral:misc_RNA from 1 species
GUUUAUAAUAUAAGCAUCCCUCAUUCAAUCAUUCCAUCCUUUCUUUCUGGAGUAUCGGCACUGAGUUGGUGAGUCUCACACUUCGCAGCCUCGUGGACAUCUGUGCUCUCUCGACUCUCGCUUCUCAGUGGUUCAGUGUCCUUUGUCAAGUGGGAAAUGAAUAAAGGUGGAGUAGUAGGUGCUGGGGGUGCUGGAGGAGGUGGAAGCGGACCAACUGCAGCUGCAACUGCAGCUGCUGCGCAAAAGCAGAAGUCAUUGAUGCAGAGAGUGGAAACAGAUAUUGCCAACAUUGUCGACAAUUUUACUCACCUUGUCAAUGUUGCCAGGGUCAAUGAGCUGCCGGUUAGAAAUUCGCAAGAGGCUUUUAUGAUGGAAAUGCGAGCAGCCAGAAUGGUUCAAGCAGCUGACUCUUUACUUAAGUUGGUGUCAGAGCUUAAACAAACUGCAAUCUUCUCGGGCUUUGCAUCUCUCAAUGAUCAUGUAGACCGAAGGAUAGUUGAGUUUAAUCAGUUGUCAGAAAAAACUGAUGGCAUGUUAGCUAGAAUUGGUGAGGAGGCUGCUGCUAGCCUCAAGGAACUUGAAUCUCAUUAUUAUUCCUCUGCACAAAGGGUAAGUCAAGACUUACAACCGUAAACCAAGGGUUCUGAACAGAAGCAAUGCUGCUUUAUUGUUGAAUCACUUAUUCUCUCUUCCAGUUGAUUUUAUGGUAAAUCCUUUAAUAGUGGACGAUGCAAAUUAUUUUGUUCCUGAUAAGAAUUUGCCUUUUCAUCUGUUCAUGGAAUUUUAGAGGAAAACAGACUUCCAAUUCCUUGUUUUUUG